CCUACGGGAGGCAGCAGUGGGGAAUAUUGGACAAUGGGGGGAACCCUGAUCCAGCCAUGCCGCGUGUGUGAAGAAGGCCCUCGGGUUGUAAAGCACUUUCAGUGAGGAAGAACGCCUGGUGGUUAAUACCCAUCAGGAAAGACAUCACUCACAGAAGAAGCACCGGCUAACUCCGUGCCAGCAGCCGCGGUAAUACGGAGGGUGCGAGCGUUAAUCGGAAUUACUGGGCGUAAAGCGCGCGUAGGUGGCUUGAUAAGCAGGUUGUGAAAGCCCCGGGCUCAACCUGGGAACGGCAUCCGGAACUGUCAAGCUAGAGGGCAGGAGAGGAAGGUAGAAUUCCCGGUGUAGCGGUGAAAUGCGUAGAGAUAGGGAGGAAUACCAGUGGCGAAGGCGGCCUUCUGGACUGACACUGACACUGAGGUGCGAAAGCGUGGGUAGCAAACAGGAUUAGAUACCCCUGUAGUC
rnacentral:rRNA from 1 species